rnacentral:rRNA from 1 species
AGAGUUUGAUCCUGGCUCAGGAUGAACGCUAGCGGCAGGCUUAACACAUGCAAGUCGAGGGGUAAGUCCCGCUCCGGCGGGAACACGACCGGCGAACGGGUGAGUAACGCGUAUGCAACCUGCCUGUAACCGGGCCAUAGCCCCGAGAAAUCGGGAUUAAUAGCCCAUAUUAUCCCUUAGUCGCAUGACUUCGGGAUGAAAGCUCCGGCGGUUACAGAUGGGCAUGCGUGACAUUAGCUUGUUGGUGAGGUGAAAGCUCACCAAGGCGACGAUGUCUAGGGGGUCUGAGAGGAUGAUCCCCCACACUGGUACUGAGACACGGACCAGACUCCUACGGGAAGCAGCAGUGAGGAAUAUUGCGCAAUGGAGGAAACUCUGACGCAGCCAUGCCGCGUGCAGGAUGACAGCCCUACGGGUUGUAAACUGCUUUUCUGCAGGAAGAACCUUCCGUACGUGUACGGAACUGACGGUACUGCAGGAAUAAGCAUCGGCUAACUCCGUGCCAGCAGCCGCGGUAAUACGGAGGAUGCAAGCGUUAUCCGGAUUCAUUGGGUUUAAAGGGUGCGCAGGCGGACCUGUAAGUCAGGGGUGAAAGCCUCCCGCUUAACGGGAGAUUGGCCUUUGAUACUGCAGGUCUUGAGUCUAGCUGAGGUAGGCGGAAUGUAGUAUGUAGCGGUGAAAUGCAUAGAUAUACUACAGAACACCCAUUGCGAAGGCAGCUUACCAAGCUAGCACUGACGCUCAGGCACGAAAGCGUGGGUAGCAAACAGGAUUAGAUACCCUGGUAGUCCACGCCGUAAACGUUGAUCACUCGUUGUUGGCAAUACA